UCGCGGCCGCGUACAACGGAACGUCAAGAAUGCCGCUAAAACGGAUCCUCAAGAAAGAAGAGUUGGCAAAGCGAUGUCGUAAACACGCCCAAAGGGCUCGAUAACGUUAUACGGCCACACAAAACGUUUUAUUAUAUGCAAACAUACCGAUGCUCUCCGGCAAGUGGGAUUAGCCAGUGCCUGAGCAAUCAGCGCGCAGCCAUCUUCUAUUCCGUAAGGAGUGGGCCAGUCUCCAGCUAUUCAGGAAAAAUAUAUCGUUCUAUGUCCGCGGUAGCGACACGCCAGGCGAGGUUUUGUACAAGAACAAAAAUGCUGACGGUUCUCUUCAAAGUGGUACAUACCUAUACUCGGACUACAAGGACUGCCUCAUUGUGGAUAUUCCUUACAGGAGCUCGCGAGAAUGCAUGAUGUGGAUAUCUUGGGAAGUCAUGCAUCAGCCGCCGCAGGAUUGCAUUGAUCAGUAUAAAGACAACUGCGAAGACGCCCCUCUCCUUUUCGACGAAGCCACCUGCAGUACUUUCUUUGCUCUGAAUAAAUAAACACAAUA